AGAGAGUCCUUUGUUUUAGAGCCUUUAGUAACAUUCCUUAUGCCACUGGAGUCGCUGGCUUACUUAUGAUGGCCAUAGUUAGUUGUCCACGGACUUCUAAUUCAAGAAGCUGCCUUUCCUCAGACCUGCGCUAUAUAUCAUUAGAGCGGUAAUAGCUGGCCACUUACUGGGUUCUCCUGGAAACAGAGGCUUUAACAGACUGUGAACCUGUUACCCUCCAUAUCCAGCUGUCCAUCAUGCCUUACAUCACCCUCAAAGCUCAGCAUGGCUACCAAGGUCUCUUUGCUACAGGAUGGGGCCAAAUCUGGGCCAUCUUUAUAUUCUACUUGCAGGAGAGGAUGGCCUUCUCUGUCCUCAAUUUCUUGCCAUGUUUUGGCACUGGAGAAAGACACCACUUUUCCAGACCCCUUGGCUACCCAGGAAACCCUUUGGAAUUAAUGGAGUUAUUUGCAAUGAGAUUUUGUAUGCUUCACAGAUGCAAUUGCCACCAUCCUAUGUGAUGGAGCCCAGUGGAAUAUUGCUGGUUUCCAUCUAUUAACCAAGACAGCCCUGAUGAAGGAUGGUAUCCAAGGAUAAGCACAAUUGGCCAAACUUUACACAGUCAUCUUACCUAACUGGGUGUUCUGCCCAAUAAAUGGCCCCAUCUGCACAUUUUUACAUACUCUUGGACUACUGCCUAAGGGUUGCCCCUUUCAGGAUAAAGAACUUUGGAAAUAUCUUGCCUCACAGAUACCCAAAAUAUAAAUCAAGCUAAAGGAUGGAACACAUGCUGUUAGCUUUUGAUUUGCUCUUCCUGCCACAGUAAGUAUACAGCUCAGGAAUGAUUGUGCUGGAGCAUAGUUAGCAAAUGGUCGACCUAUUCUCCUUGUAGAAGAAAUGGAGGAAAAACAAAAAGAAGAUUAAAUGCAAAAUGAUCAGUUUCCACCUCCAAACUCAUCAUUUGAAAUAGAAAAAAACUGUGUCCUUACCCAUAACUGUAUCCAACAUGAGUCAGCUGAGGACUUUCACUCCAUAUCCUCAUCAUCCUUCUCAGGGACUCAGGUUGAGGGGUUGCAUGUCACUUGCAACUCAAUGGGAAGUCAAUAGGAAGAAUAAGUAUUAUGAUCUAUCAUGCUCAAUCAUUGGCCCAGGUGAUGGGCUACGCAUCACUUCCACUCCCAGCUCAAUGCAAAGAAACAGUCACAUGGCCUCAUCCAGCCACUGGGAAAGCAAGAAGCACAAUCCUUACAAGAGCAUAGAACAGCGGUCCCCAACCUUUUUGGCAUAGAAACUGUUCACCUCAGAUCAUCAGGCAUUGGUUAUAUUCUCAUAAGGAGCGUAUAACCUAGACCCCUCUUACGAGCAGUUCACGGUAGGGUUCACACUCCCAUAAAAAUCUAAUGCUGCCACUGACCUGACAGGAGGCGGAGCUCAGGCAGUAAUGCUCACCUCCUACUGUGCAGCCCGGUUCCUAACAGGCCACAAACCAGUACCGGUGUGUGGCGCAGGCAUUGGGAACCCCUGGCCUAGAAGGAGAAGAGAGACUGAUAAGGUGGAACAGGUGAAUGACAACCACAAUGGUGCUGGGGUUAAUUUCCUUUAACCAGUAUGAUGUCACUUUCCUUUUUACUGUUUUCAUUUCCUCCUCCCAUCAGCUAUUUAGCACUUUUAGCUUGAGCUAUGUGUAACUUUGUUUCCUAAAAUUGUUGGUCCUAGUUCCUGCCUGGCCUCUAGCUAGCUAAAUGCUGAUAGAAGAAUUCCCUGACCUCUCCAGGCCUAAUUUUAUCAACGAUAAAUAGAUGGAUUAGGAUAACUUUAAGAGACCUCCAAAUGAAAAUUUUAUGACUUCAUGAAAAGGCCAAAAUAAAUCCUUCUCUUUUG
rnacentral:lncRNA from 1 species